UACGUAGGGUGCAAGCGUUAAUCGGAAUUACUGGGCGUAAAGGGUGCGUAGGCGGGUCUUUAAGUCAGAGGUGAAAUCCUGGAGCUCAACUCCAGAACUGCCUUUGAUACUGAGGAUCUUGAGUUCGGGAGAGGUGAGUGGAACUGCGAGUGUAGAGGUGAAAUUCGUAGAUAUUCGCAAGAACACCAGUGGCGAAGGCGGCUCACUGGCCCGAUACUGACGCUGAGGCACGAAAGCGUGGGGAGCAAACAGG
rnacentral:rRNA from 1 species